UACGGGGGGAGCAAGCGUUGUUCGGAUUUACUGGGCGUAAAGGGCGCGUAGGCGGCCACCGCAAGUCGACUGUGAAAUCUCCGGGCUUAACCCGGAAAGGUCAGCCGAUACUGCGGGGCUAGAGUGCAGAAGGGGUAACUGGAAUUCUCGGUGUAGCGGUGAAAUGCGUAGAUAUCGAGAGGAACACCUGCGGCGAAGGCAGGUUGCUGGGCUGACACUGACGCUGAGGCGCGAAAGCUAGGGGAGCGAACGGG
rnacentral:rRNA from 1 species